rnacentral:lncRNA from 1 species
AGGACACCCCAGGCUGACUCAGGACACCGCUGGAUGACACAGUAUACCACUGACUGACUCAGGACACCCCAGAGUGACUCAGGACAACCCAGUCUGACACAGGACAUCCCAGGCUGACAAAGGAAAUCCCAGGGUGACACACAACACGGCAGGUUGACUCAGGACACCUCAGGCUGACAAAUAUACACCAGGAUGACACAGGACACACCAGGAUGACACAGGACACCCCAGGAUGACUCAGGACACCCCAGGCUGACUCAGGACUCCCAGGGACAACUCAGGAAUCCACAGGAUGACACAGGACACCACAGGAUGAAAUGCAUACCCCAGGAUAUCACAAGACACCCCAGACUGUUACAGGACACACCAGGCUGACCCGGGACACCCAGGGCUGUCACAGGAUACACUAGGAGGACACAUGAUACCCCGGAUGACUCAUGACAAUACAGGCUGACACUGGACACCCCAUGGUGACAGAGGACACUCCAGGAUUACUCAGGACACCCCAGGGUGACACUGGAGACCCAUGGAUGACACAGGACACACCAGGCUGACUCAGGACAUCCCAGAGUGACUCAGGACACCCCACGCUGACACAGGACACCCCAGGAUGACACAAUAUACUCCAGGAUGACUCAGGACACCCCAGGAUGACUCAGGAUAACCCAGGCUGACACAGGACACCCGAGGAUGACACAGGACACCCAGUCUUACACAGGAUACCCCAGGAUGAAUCAAGACUCCCCAGGAUGAAUCAGAACACUCCAGGAUGACACAGGAUACCCCAGCCUACUCAGGACACCCCAGCAUGACACAGGACACCCAAGGAUGACACGGGACACCCAAGGAAGACACAG